rnacentral:rRNA from 1 species
UACGUAGGGGGCAAGCGUUGUCCGGAAUCAUUGGGCGUGAAGAGCGUGUAGGCGGCUCGAUAAGUCUGCUGUGAAAGUCCAGGGCUCAACCCUGGAAGGCCGGUGGAAACUGUCGGGCUAGAGUCCGGAAGAGGCGAGUGGAAUUCCCGGUGUAGCGGUGAAAUGCGCAGAUAUCGGGAGGAACACCAAUGGCGAAGGCAGCUCGCUGGGACGGUACUGACGCUGAGACGCGAAAGCGUGGGGAGCAAACAGG